rnacentral:tRNA from 2 species
GAGAUAAAAGUAAGAGUAGAGCUGCUAACUCUAACUCUAAGCGGUUUAACUCCGUUUGUAUCUUU